CACCGCGGUUAUACGGGAAGGCCCAAAUUGAUGGACACCGGCGUAAAAAGUGGCUAAUAUAUACAGUAUUGCACUAAAGCCAAACACCUUCAAAGCUGUCAUACGCACUCGAAGGCAGGAAGUACCCCCACGAAAGUGGCUUUAAUUGAUAUUAUCCCACGAAAGCUAGGAAA
rnacentral:rRNA from 1 species